AAGACUAUAGACCUGCGGAGUACCUGCGGAAGGAUCAUUAAAGAAUGAACUCGGGUCAAUGCUGAUUGCUGGUCCUUAGGGACAUGUGCACGCUUGGCUCUUGUUUUUCAACCACCUGUGCACUUUUUGUAGAUUUGGAGAAUCAACCUUGGUUGGAUUGGAGGAUUGACAAUUAAUUUGUUCAUUGCUCUGAAGGCUCCGGUCUAUGUUUUUAUAUAUACCAUUUGAUUGUUAUUGGAA
rnacentral:misc_RNA from 1 species